rnacentral:rRNA from 1 species
GAGUUUGAUCAUGGCUCAGAACGAACGCUGGCGGCAGGCCUAACACAUGCAAGUCGAGCGCGCCUUCGGGUGAGCGGCGGACGGGUUAGUAACACGUGGGAACGUACCCUUUUCUAAGGAAUAACCAUUGGAAACGAUGACUAAUGCCUUAUACGCCCUUCGGGGGAAAGAUUUAUCGGAGAAGGAUCGGCCCGCGGUAGAUUAGAUAGUUGGUGGGGUAAUGGCCUACCAAGUCUACGAUCUAUAGUUGAUUUGAGAGGAUGAUCAGCAACACUGGGACUGAGACACGGCCCAGACUCCUACGGGAGGCAGCAGUGGGGAAUCUUAGACAAUGGGCGCAAGCCUGAUCUAGCCAUGCCGCGUGAGUGAUGAAGGUCAUAGGAUCGUAAAGCUCUUUCGCUGGGGAAGAUAAUGACUGUACCCAGUAAAGAAGUCCCGGCUAACUCCGUGCCAGCAGCCGCGGUAA